rnacentral:rRNA from 1 species
UACGUAGGGGGCUAGCGUUGUUCGGAAUUACUGGGCGUAAAGGGCGCGUAGGCGGCCUUCUAAGUCGGACGUGAAAUCCCCGGGCUCAACCCGGGAACUGCGUCCGAUACUGGAAGGCUUGAAUCCGGGAGAGGGAUGCGGAAUUCCAGGUGUAGCGGUGAAAUGCGUAGAUAUCUGGAGGAACACCGGUGGCGAAGGCGGCAUCCUGGACCGGCAUUGACGCUGAGGCGCGAAAGCCAGGGGAGCAAACGGG